rnacentral:rRNA from 1 species
CGAACGGGUGAGUAACACGUGGGCAAUCUGCCCUUCACUCUGGGACAAGCCCUGGAAACGGGGUCUAAUACCGGAUAACACCGGCUUCCGCAUGGAAGCUGGUUGAAAGCUCCGGCGGUGAAGGAUGAGCCCGCGGCCUAUCAGCUUGUUGGUGGGGUAAUGGCCUACCAAGGCGACGACGGGUAGCCGGCCUGAGAGGGCGACCGGCCACACUGGGACUGAGACACGGCCCAGACUCCUACGGGAGGCAGCAGUGGGGAAUAUUGCACAAUGGGCGAAAGCCUGAUGCAGCGACGCCGCGUGAGGGAUGACGGCCUUCGGGUUGUAAACCUCUUUCAGCAGGGAAGAAGCGAAAGUGACGGUACCUGCAGAAGAAGCGCCGGCUAACUACGUGCCAGCAGCCGCGGUAAUACGUAGGGCGCAAGCGUUGUCCGGAAUUAUUGGGCGUAAAGAGCUCGUAGGCGGCUUGUCACGUCGGGUGUGAAAGCCCGGGGCUUAACCCCGGGUCUGCAUCCGAUACGGGCAGGCUAGAGUGUGGUAGGGGAGAUCGGAAUUCCUGGUGUAGCGGUGAAAUGCGCAGAUAUCAGGAGGAACACCGGUGGCGAAGGCGGAUCUCUGGGCCAUUACUGACGCUGAGGAGCGAAAGCGUGGGGAGCGAACAGGAUUAGAUACCCUGGUAGUCCACGCCGUAAACGUUGGGAACUAGGUGUUGGCGACAUUCCACGUCGUCGGUGCCGCAGCUAACGCAUU